GCGGCGUUGGCCGGGGAGCUGUGGCUGAGGGGAGGUUGUUGGAGCCGGGGAGGGCGGCUGUGUUCACUGCUCUUUUUCUUUCAAAGCUUUCAUCAGUCCACAAAUCCAAGUUCUGUCUGCUCAGCUCUAACGUGACUGAGCAAUCACACAGGCAGACCUAGCAGCACUGUCAGUCACGAAUGAAAACAUACCUUCUUCUCUCUGCUUGUCUUUGAUUCAGGUAAUUCUUCUCGAUUUAAAUGUUAGGAAGAUUCGCCCUGUUUAAGUUCCACACACCAAAGUGAGAGAGACUAUCUUGGGCACAGGCCUUCCUCCUUCAAAAGCAGCAGUUUGCGUGGUGACGCCCAGUGGGAAGAGGGAAAAGCCAUUCCUUCCACUGAUGUCUGAGCUGAGAUCCUCUGGGCCAAAUGUGGAAGAAGUAACAGUGAGGAAGUCACCACGCUACUGUUCACUACAAGAUCACCUUGCAGCUUCACAUGCGGCUGAGAUUUUGUCAGGAUCAAAGCUCAAGGUCAUUUUUAAGGAGAUUCUUACUGAAAUUUUGUGAGAAAUGGAAAGCAAAGCUGCAGCAACACCAACUAGUGACAGCUGGCCACUGAUGGCAGAGCCCAAAUGACAAGAGAGGGUAAACCCAAAGGGAACACAGCAUGACCCUAGAGAGGAGACAGGAUGGCCUUCUGGAACAUGUCCUCAUGGCUUGUUACCUGGAACCUUCUGCCUAAUUCCAGCUAAGUAGUCAGGAAAUGACUCUCACUUCUUUAUAACACAUCACAUUACUUUUGUUUCUAUAAAUACAGCAUGACAAAACUGAUUUAACACCUAGGAGGGUAAUUUGCAUUCAACAAUGAAGUGGUUGAAUUUUUAAGGUAUUUUGUUGUUAAACUGUAAUUAAGUUGGAAGGCUCUUUGCCCAGCAAUGUCCCACUUACUACAUACAGCAAAAGUCCUUACAGAAAUCUAGGAGAUGGCCGUACCUUUGUGCUGCUUGUCUCAGAUGUAGCAAAAGUAGUAAAUGAUACAAAGCACUGUGUAAGUCUGUGUAACAGAGUCGUGUUCAUACCCAGGUUUAAAAGGGAACAACAAAGCAAACAACAGUAUUGCUCCAUUAUCUCUCCUGGCUCUAUUAUCACCUCUGCCUUAUGCCCAGAGAUCUCUUUGAGUAUAUUUUUAAAGUUCAGGAUAACCAUAAGCAAAAUAUAUGCAGCGGAUAUCUGAAGCUACAUCUGAACAAAAAAGACUAAAAGAGUCCUAAGCAUGGAAAACUUUUGCAAAUAUUUCAGUUGUUUACAUGAAAUAAAGCAUAAUAAUCCAACAUGGAACUGAGAAUAUUUAUUUUAAUCAUUCAAGGAAUUUGCUCAACUUUAGAGUCAAGUCUGGUGUGAUGAUUAAAGCAUGGGGCAGGGAACCAGAAGACAUAAAUUCUAUUUUCAGCGUUAGCACUGACUCACAGUGUGAUAUUAGUCAAGUCACUUAAUUUAACUGCCUCACUCUCCAUCUCACCUGUAAAAUGAGGGAACCUACCUCACACGUUCUUUGUGAGAUUAAUUAAUUAAAUGUUUGCUGCACACCUAAAAGUUCUUGGAUGUAAGGUCGUGGAAAAUUUAUUAUUAAACACAUUUACAGACAGGAUACAGGAGCAGAGCUGGGUGGUUUCUAUAAAGGAAGCUCUCUUCUCUUUCAUCUCUGAAUUUUUUAAGCAUGACAACAAAAUAAUUAACAACAGGAAAAACUGUGGGUGAAGCCCUUGAAAAGAGUUUAUAAAUUGGAAAUAAAAAGCAUACAAACAAACUAGACACUGACUAAACUAUAACUAAGAAGAGAAAUAUGAUUCUCUCUUCAAUUAAAGACAAAGGUGGCUUUUUCUCUUACGAUCCAGAAGUAAAUUUACAUCUAAUGGAAGCGAAAGGCAGAAGAUCUAAAUCUGGAGAAAGGAAGCCAGGUUUCUUAAAGAAAACACAUUGUUGCUGAACCCAUUGCCACAAAACAUUGAAAUGAAGGUCUCGGUGAACUCAAGAAACAAACAAUUAUAUGGCAAUGUGAAUGUCUGUUGUGAUGUUUUAUGAAAUGAAAGUGUUAAGAAACAGCUGUGUUGCAGAGCACAAGCCAAGUACUAGCUGAGAAGCAUUAAAGAAAUCUGCUGCGAAGCCUGCUGGGCAGCUGAGCACCCGGGUUUAACUGCAGCCUUAGCAGAGGGCCUGGCACAGUUCAUUCUGCAGGCAGGGAGCUCACAGCAUGUUGUGUGCAGCAAUCCCAAUGCAUCGUGUCCCUAGCAACCUUCCACUCUUAUAAUGAAUAUGGUGAGAAAAUGGCAAGUUUGUUCUGUUGCAAAAUUAAUUAUGUCAGCAACACAAGAGGGUCCAGCAACUUCCGACUGAAGAGGUUUGUGUACCUUCCAUUCCCGGCCAGCUCAAUGCAGCUGAGCUGACGCAAGGCAACAAUUUCUACUGCCGUUGUUCUGUGACCCCACAAAUGAACCAAUCAAAACCACAAUGGGCGAAGGAGAAAUGGAGAAUGUAGAGCAAUCAAUGACAUAUUCACAAGUUAUAUGUUUCUUGUAAGGCUGCUUGUACCAAAGACUGUUUGGGGAAAGGAUGCCGCUUAUUUGCACUUUUCUAAAGCCAGUUGUUAUUUCGUAUAUUCCUAAACAUCACUGCUGCUUUCUGUAGGUUCCAGUCAAAACAGAGUGAGGCCUGUAGGUAAACCAUUAUCUUAAACCUCUUACCAAGCUCUAGUAUGACGCUGGUUUGUUACUCUAGUACGGGCAAGUGUCCCUUGGGGUUUCCAUCCCUUUAAAUGCUAACUUCCAGGUUAAGAAAAAACUUCUAUGAUAUCAUUUAGUAAAUAUAAGUGCAAGUGGAUCAUUUACUUUCAUUGUAACAUUUCUACACUGUAAAUUCCAGAACAUACUAAGCUAUUCAUACACUGUAAUUAUAAAUAUAUAUUUAAUAUAGCUAAUACAUUUCUACUCAGCACAGCAGAAACAUCCAGACUAAACCUUGGGCCCUCCACCAGGAGUGGCAGAACCUUUCCAUUUAGCCCUCUGCUCUCUGCAUUGUAGAACUAAAAGGCCAAGAUGGAGAAGUGCCGAGGUAACCACAACAGCAAGGGUUAUGAAGUUGUAUUAAAAGGAAUCGGUGACUCACUGUUCAUACGUUUACUCGGCCUGUAUGCCGUAAGGGUGAGUGGAGACCAGUACAGAAAACUGGUUCUUUUAUUCUCUUCAUAUUUUGUUUAUUACUAGCUAGCACUACUGCAUUCAUUAAGGCAAACCAGAUUUAAGAAUAAACAAGAGGUGUUUGUCAUCCAGCACUAACAUAAUGCCACGUGCUCACUGCGAAGCUUCUUCUGCAUACAUUUCAGCAGCUGUUUUUUUCCUGUCUGCCCACACUGGGUUGGCUCACAGGGUGGGUACACCUUGUCCUCUCCCUGCACCCUGCCCCUAUUGUAAGCCAGUCUCUGCACACCAAGCCCUCCUCAUUGCUGCUCUCCUUUUUCUCACCCCAGCUGAGCCAGGAAACAACUUUUGCUUCUCACCUCAGUAUUCAAAAACGAAAGCGAGUUCUCAUUUCACGUGUGUUUAUGUUGCUGGCUGCACCCAUACACAAACACAGAUAGGUGAUCUUCCUCUAGUGCCACCACACAAGCUAGUUAGACCGUCUGCUUUCAUAGUUGAU